GCCUGGGUGGCUCAGUCUGUUGAGCAUCUGACUUCGGCUCAGGUCAUGAUCUUGCGGUUCGUGGGUUCGAGCCCCGCGUCGGGCU
rnacentral:tRNA from 1 species